rnacentral:rRNA from 1 species
UACGUAGGGGGCGAGCGUUGUCCGGAGUUACUGGGCGUAAAGCGCACGCAGGCGGUCUGCUAAGUUUGGAGUGACAGUUGGUGGCUUAACUGCCAAAGUGCUUCGAAAACUGACAGACUUGAGGGCUUCAGAGGGACACGGAAUUCCGGGUGGAGUGGUGAAAUGCGUAGAGAUCCGGAGGAACACCAAAGGCGAAGGCAGUGUCCUGGGGAGUACCUGACGCUCAGGUGCGAAAGCCAGGGGAGCGAACGGGA